rnacentral:lncRNA from 1 species
GAAAGACCCCUUUUGCUUGAAGAUACAGCUCCUCACCCUGCCAUCCGAUAACCUUGCUUAUGAUGACAAAUUCGAGUCUAGGAAAACAUGAUCGCUCUUUGCCUUUUUUCCUCUGAGGAGAGAAAGUGCACUUUCUUCUUAAAUAUCUGAGAAAAGCAUAUGGAAGCCAGUCAUUGGGCCUAGCCUGGUGGGUGAUCCUCCAUCAUGAGUCAACUAAAGGAAAUGAACCGAACGACGAGCAUCCUGGAGAGACCGACCGAAUGUGUUGGUGAAGGAAGCCUAGUGAGAAACGGGACAGAGCUGGAUUCCUACGGCAGAGAAAGCGGGAGAUGCCCCACUUGUGGCAAACAGCUGUUCUGUUUCUGAUUAGCAAUGAUAAUUACGACAACCCGAAAAUAGAGGGAACAUGAGAACAUGGGACUGCCCAAGAACUGGAGUCUUGCAGCGGCUAAUUCUUGAAAGCAUGACCUCUCAUUCUCGAAAAUUCACGAGAAAAAGUUGAACACCAUUUUUUGAUUGUUGUUGGUCUAGGUACUCUGCAGACCAAAGUGUGUGAGAGGAUUUAUUUCGAAAAUGUAUGAACAUGCUGCGCUGAAUAACUUAUGACACUGUCGAGUAAACUAGAGUCCCUGUAACCCCAGAGGUAACCGCUCUUCUAGGUCUGAUGUGUUUUCUUCUCAUCUUUUUCUCGGCUCCCCAAUCCCACUGAUGGGUGGUGUGACUUCUUGACUAAGAGCACAAGUAUGAUUGUGGCAAGAGCACUGAUUUUUCAGGGAUGGCUGGUGGAAUUAGUCUCAUUACUUUAAAGUCAGAUCUUGUAGAGUUCAUUUUUGUAAUUCUCUUUAGAAUUUCCCCAGGCUUGCAAAACUUAAAAAGAAACCCACAACAGGGAAAUAAGUCCUGAGGCAGCACCCGGAGGGUGGGAUGCUACAAUCACUUAUUAAAUUGCCCUCCUAAACCCUGAGCGGAUUUAGGAAGAUGCAGUUUCAAAGGAUGUUACUGUGUAUUGAAAACCACUUUACUUAAAAGAAAAGUGAAGCUCGAAAAUCAGAUCUAGUGGGGCUCCUGGGGGGAACCAUUCUGCAGGUCUCCUCACCUCCCCCUUCUGACAGCCCUGCAGAGACAGGGAAGCGGGGCCAAACACCGAGCUAACCAAGUGCUCGACCCUCCACACUUGCUGGCCUCAAGUUCGCCACGCUCCUCUUUCACGGUGCUGCCUGGUCAACGAGUUAUUAUUAGGAUUUAUCCGCUGUCCCACGAUAGACUCAACUUCUUUGGGUGUUUAUAACUGUCAUAAAAAUUUAGCAGGGCAGGCGAGGUCUCAACCUGGCCGUAAAUUUUGCAGUAAUGCUUCCCUGUGUUGUCGGAAAGGUGUUUGUCCAUCUUCAAGGAGCCGGGAGGGUGGCAGAACAGAACAAGGAUCUCAUCCUGCAAGAAACGUGUAGACACCAGGAAGAAGAGGCUGCCUCGUUCUGCACAGGGUGUUCUAAGAGCCACGGGGCACGGGGAGGUGUGGCCGGACACACUCGAAUCCAGGGCGGCUUGGGCACGUCCCCACUCAUUCACUUUGGACAAGUUAUUUAACGUCUCUGUCCCUGAAAUGCCCUCUGUGCGCAGGGAGAGCAAUAGGAGUAUCCGCCCGCCUUACCGGGCUGGGGGUACAUUGAAUGAAUUACUGUAUGGUCAACUUUUAGAAGAGUGCCAGGCUGGAGUUCCCUAGUGGCUCUGUGGGUUAAGGAGCUGGCAUCGUCACUGCUGUGGCUCUAGGUACUGCUGUGGUGUGGGUUCAGUCCCUGGCCUGGGAGCUUCUGCAUGCUGCAGGCGUGGCCAAAAAGAGAAAGUGCCAAGCAUGUACAAGAACAAUGUGGUUGUCAUUUAAUAUUAUAUUAGAAAGCUGACUAAAUUCUCUAAAUUCGAUUUGUUUUUUUCUUUUUAGGGCACAUGGAAAUUCCCGGGUUAGGGGUCAAAUUGGAGCUGCGGCUGCCGGCCUACGCCCCAGCCACAACCACAGCAGGUCGCAGCUGUAUCUGAGAGCUACAGCACAGCCUGCAGCAGCACCAGAUCCUUAACCCCCUGAACGAGGCCUGGGGUGGAACCUGCACCCUCGUGAACACUAGCUGGGUUCUUACCCAGUGGAGCCCCAAUGGGAACUCUCUAGAUUCUCUAACUUCUUAUCGAGACAUCCUAACUGAGAACUAAGUUGUGUUUUCAGGUGCCUAGAGGUUAACAGAACCAUAAUCAAUGACCGUCAUCAUGUGACAUAUGUAGUCGGAGAGCGACUGAAAGGCGCAUCUCACUUUCGUAUUUUUGUCAUGGCUCCUACUCUGUGAGACGCCAUCACACUGACAGAAGCGGGGGAGGCACAGUUCAACCCUGUGGGGUAGAGGAUGGGUGUCGGGUGCAAGGCAGCCCCCCCAGCAAAGGUCGUGGUUUGAUCUUGGUUCAAGCAGUUGUCGGGGUCAGAUCUUCCUGAAGGGUCUUGUCCUCGUGGAUCAGGGGUGGCUCAUUCUAAAGAACAGCUGAAGUUUCUUUGAAGGAACUUUUCCCAAAGCUGAGAACCAGGUUAGUGGGGAGACGGGGCACUUUCGUGGCAGACCCUUGGGGGCUGAUGUUUGUGCGAAGCUGCCCUUUGAGCGCUGUGACCGUUGAGUGACAACCUCUUUCCAGAAGUCACUGUAAAUCCUUAGCGUGACGCAUAGGAAGAAAUGGGAUCAGAGCGCACUGCUUCUAUUUUCACAUUUGAAAAAUGCCUGCUUCUUUUCUCCCCUCUAAGCCAGUGGUGUGUGUGUCGUGUGCCUGUGUGUUGUGAGUGUGUGAAUUGUUUUUAGGUGACACAUUCAUCUUUGUAGUGAAAUUCCUGGGUGAGAGGAGAAAGAAUUUACCAACUAUGUGCUCUGUCCUAGGCCCGUAGUGGGGACAUUACUCAUUAUCUUUAAUCUUCACCGUCACGUUGCGAAGUAAAUAUUCUUAUUUCCACUUAAAGGAAGAGAAAGCCGAGGUUCAUAUAAGAUAAGCUUGCAGAGCCAACAAGAAAUGGAACCUAGGUUUGAGCAUAGACCUGACUCCAAGCGACAUGCUCUAGCUCGUCAUCAAGAACUCAUUUACGAGGUGUGCCUAUGAGUUCCCCAGCUGCUGGGUCAUAGGAACAGCCGUAGAGAAGAGCCAAGCAGGGUUGGUUUCUGGCUCUCCCUUCAUCCAUUGUCUUAUCAUCAUCCUUCCCAAUCACUCACUCUCACGUCCGUUUUUCUCAUUCUGUCCUGCACUCACCGAAUCCAAAUUCAGCGCUCCUUUGAAACCCGUUAGCCUAAUUCUUGCGCAUCAAGAUGAUGCUUGGUAUCAAGAGCUCACCUGAGAGGCUGGCUUAUACCAAGUCUCUUCAUCUCAGCUUCCAGGGAUGCAUUUCUGGCCCUUCCAUGCAGCUCCGCACUGUCCCACCCCCCCACCCCGCCCCGCUUCCCAGCACCACGAGGACACAGACCUUGCACUUGCCAGGGUGACGUGAAAAUGGACACGAAGCAGAGACAGAAAAUAGCUUUAAAGUUUUGUCCCCACAAACAAUGUCCACAGUAAUCAGGGUGGUACUACUUCCUCUUUGUUCUUCCCGAGCCAACGACAAGUUCUUAUCUGAAACGUUCUGAGACCGAAGGUUGAGAACUUCUUGUUCAGUUCGCUUUGAGCACUUUCCCCUCCUUCAUCUCCCCCACUGCUGGUGUCAUUUGUGUUCCUACGCAAUCCUAGUAGAUAACAGAUGUGUUUGCGUCUCUGGGGUUUGAAGGUUUUCUUUGAGCCCUCUCCUUCAGCCCCACCGCCUUGUACGUGUUGCAGUGAAAGCAGAGGUUAGAGCCAGGUGAGGGGCAAUUCAAGUUCCAAUUCUUGCUCUUUCAUUUAUUAACAAUGUAACAUUAGGCAGAUGGUGAAGCAUCACUGAGUCUCGAUUUCCUUAUCUGCAAAAUGGGAAGAAUAACAGAACCUAGUUCUCGGAGGUGUGAAGAUUCAAUGAGCCGAUGCCUAUAAAAUGCCUGCUAUAUUAGGUCAAUUAUAUCUCAAUAAAACUGGAGAAGAACACACUCCAUAUAGAAAGUGGAACAUAGUAAUCUAUCAUUGUUAUACCCAGCAAAACUUUUGAAAUUGUGAGAGCCAGCAGCAGCAGGCCUGUAGGCCUGUGAUUUGUAACAACUGAAGCAGAGCAUUGAGCUUCACAGGAAACGUAUAUGGUGAGAUUAGCAUUUGUAAUCUCGGGUGAUUCCUGGAAGAAAAUAUGAAAAUCACGUAGAUCCAGGUUGAUGGGUUAUUAUUCUUUAGUUAUAUUCUGAAAUAACGCUUGAAUACUUACUAUUUACUCGAUAUUAGUAAACAAGUGCAGGUUAGUAAACCUCACCCCCAGGAAAGUCAUUUGAAAAUGUGAUUCAUUUUACAUAAAUCUCCCUAU